UAUAGCAGGAAAAUCAUAACACGACCGUCUUCAUCGGGGAUGGGCACGGUGAGAACUGAGAAGUGGCAACGCGUGAGCACAUGUUCGGCAAGGAAGGUGAUCCGCAUGCCAUCUGCUGCAAGGUUGUGAUAACGUCGAGUUCGUGUUACCCAAAGCACACAGCGCAAGCGGGACAAGCUAUAACAGCUAGUGUUCUUCUCUGUCGGUCCUGAGUUCCUGGAGUUGCUGAAGAAUUUGAUAGAAGUCAAGGUUAAAAUUUGAACAGGGUAGGUGUCUACAACACGAAAGAAAAUGAAGAUAUAUACUUGCAUUAGAUGAAAGUGGCACAACAACAACAACAACACACAACAGAAACAUAGUGUAUCAAGAAGCGUCGGCUGCCUGUAGGAGAUAUUUUGCCCUGCAGUUUCAGUUUCAGAUGAACUUUACAGAGACAUCUAAUCAUUUCCCACCGGUGCAUGUUUUGAAAAAAAAGCUGAGUGUCGCUGAUGCAAAUAAGUCAACAGUCUAGAUGCAUUUAUGGUAUGGUCUACUCCUUUUCACUG
rnacentral:rRNA from 1 species